CACGUAGGGCGCGAGCGUUGUCCGGAAUUAUUGGGCGUAAAGAGCUCGUAGGCGGCCUGUUGCGUCCGCUGUGAAAGCCCGGGGCUUAACCCCGGGUCGGCAGUGGAUACGGGCAGGCUAGAGGUAGGUAGGGGAGAAUGGAAUUCCCGGUGUAGCGGUGAAAUGCGCAGAUAUCGGGAGGAACACCGGUGGCGAAGGCGGUUCUCUGGGCAUUACCUGACGCUGAGGAGCGAAAGUGUGGGGAGCGAACAGG
rnacentral:rRNA from 1 species